GUGGGUUGGCUCAGUGAUUAGAGCGUAAGUCUCGUAACCGAAAGGUUGCGGGAUCGAAUCCCGCUAGAGGCUGACA
rnacentral:tRNA from 1 species